rnacentral:rRNA from 1 species
UACGGGGGGAGCAAGCGUUGUUCGGAUUUACUGGGCGUAAAGGGCGCGUAGGCGGUCAGCACAAGUCAGUUGUGAAAUCUCCGGGCUUAACUCGGAAAGGUCAACUGAUACUGUGCGACUAGAGUGCGGAAGGGGCAACUGGAAUUCUCGGUGUAGCGGUGAAAUGCGUAGAUAUCGAGAGGAACACCUGCGGCGAAGGCGGGUUGCUGGGCCGACACUGACGCUGAUGCGCGAAAGCAUGGGGAGCGAACGGG